UUUCCCUCCGGUCUUUAGGAGUGUUCUGUCAGCGCUAAGGCCACAUUGCGGAUUCCGGUUUCCUAGGGGAUGUGAAAUGUGGGUAGAGAGGCUCCCCUGCUUGGCGUGCAGGCGCUAACUCAGCCCUCCCGGCGUCUCUGUAGGGUUGGGGGUUGGGCUGGUGUACUUCUCCAGGUUGCUCUGUACUCCGGCCUGAAGAUUUUGACUGACUGAUCCUCACAGGCUCCGCGAGUUCCUUGGUGGCUCAGAAGGUAAAGAAUCUGCCUGCAAAGCAGGAGACCUAGGUUCACUCCCUGGGUCGGGAAGAUCCCCUGGAGAAGGAAAUCGCAACCCACUCUAGUAUUCUUGCCUGGAGAAUUCCAUGGACAGAGGAACCAGGCAGUCAGUAAUGUCCAACUCUUUGUGACCCCAUGGACUACAGCACACCAGGCCUCCCUGUCCGUCACCAUCUCCCGGAGUUUGCUCAAACUCAUGUCUACUGAUUCGAUGAUGCCAUCCAACCGUCUCCUCUGUCAUCCCCUUCUUGUGCCUUCAAUCUUUCCCAGUAUCAGGGUCUUUUCCAAUGAGUCAGUUUUGCACAUCAUGUGGCCAAAGUAUUGGAGCUUCAGCUUCAGCAUCAGCCCUUACAAUAAAUAUUCAGGGUUGAUUUUCUUUAGGAUUGACUAGCUUGUUAUAAUUAUACAUAAUGGUCUGCCUCAGGGAACCCUGCCCCUUGUUCAGCUCACAGGGAGAUAAUCUGACCCUGCUCACCUGUGAAUGGCUGCAAAAAUGAACAGGUGAACAGAUCCCCUUCCUGAGGUUUGCCAUUUAAGAGUAUUUCAAGAUAAAGGAUUUUUUACUUCCUUAACUCCUAACCCUCUCUGGUCUAUAAAAGAACCUAGCAUCCAUCCAGACUCCAACAAGAUUGUUAUUUUGAGAUAUUAGUCUGCCAUCUUCUCUGUCAGCUGGCUUUCCAAAUAAAGUUGUAUUCCUUGCCUCAAUACUUCGUCUCUCAGAUUCAUUGGCCUGUCAUGUGGUGAGCAGAGCAAGCUUGGACU